rnacentral:lncRNA from 1 species
UCUGAAGGUUUGUAUGAUGGGACGUGGACUCAUCAGAGACACAGAUGCAUGCUGGGAUGUCUGUGGACUCCUCUGAAGCCCAGCUCGGUGAUCCCGGAGCUGGAAUACUACGUAAAAUAAAUAAAAAUGUACCUUGAACACUGGAUGUUUCUGCUUUAUUUAUUGAGUCUUCACAUUGAUCCCGUGGGCCAGCCUGAUCACCUGCCGGUUACCUACCCACACCUGCAGUUCUCCACGAUGGACGUCCAGUGUUCUCCAGCCUCCAGCACCUAGAUAGCAGUUCCGUACAAGAAGUUUGGCCAGAGGAGAAAUGGUCAUGCCCAACUGAGCCAUGCUUCUCUAAAAGUUUUUAUUUCCUUCAUUUUCGUCAAUUGGUUAAGUUUGUUUCUCACCACUGGCUUGCUCGGUCUGGGACUUGUAUAGAUGUGCAUCGAUGGAUUCGCUCUUCAGUUUUUGGACGUUUAGCAGUGAAAAUUAGACCACACUGAACUGAACUUCGCCUCUCAAAACUGGACUGACAGUUUCAGUUUACUGUAAUCUUCUGUGUUAAGCUGGGUCAUCGGUCCUUUGGGAACAAAUGAAUUGUUGAACGGUCCAUAUAGAAGUCGCUGGGAUAAUUAGACACACCUGGUCCAGAUCCCCCAUGAUUGCUGAAGCUGUAAAUCCUGCAUUUGGAUCUUGUCCAGCGUCUUCUUCACAUGACAGAAGAAUCAGCCACAACAUGGAUCUAGUAGAUCAGCUGUGUCCGCUAAGACAAGGAUCAAGCACCCUUGAGGACUAUAUCUGUAAGU